rnacentral:rRNA from 1 species
AAUGAACGUUGGCGGCAUGGAUUAGGCAUGCAAGUCGAGCGAGAAGUGUAGCAAUACACGGAAAGCGGCGGAAGGGAGAGUAAUACGUGGGAAUCUGCCCUUAGACCUGGGAUAGCAGCGGGAAACUGCUGGUAAUACCAGAUAAUGUCUAUGGACCAAAGGUGUGAUUCCGUCUAGGGAUGAGCCCACGUCCUAUUAGCUAGUUGGUAGGGUAAUGGCCUACCAAGGCGAUGAUGGGUAGCGGGUGUGAGAGCAUGACCCGCCUCACUGGGGCUGAGACACGGCCCAGACACCUACGGGGGGCUGCAGUCGAGAAUCUUCGGGAAUGGGCGCAAGCCUGACCGAGCGAUGCCGCGUGCGGGAUGAAGGCCUUCGGGUUGUAAACCGCUGUCGAGGGGGAGCAACUUCCAUAGAGUUAUCUUUAUGGAUUGAGUGAUCCCUGGAGGAAGGACGGGCUAAGUUCGUGCCAGCAGCCGCCGUAACAC